UCCUCGUUUAAGCGAGGCAGUCUGUCCAGAGUGCUCCGAACUCUCGUUCGGGUGGCAACAGGACACAGGGGUUGCGCUCGUUGCGGGACUUAACCCAACAUCUCACGACACGAGCUGACGACAACCAUGCGCCACCUGCGCAGGACCCUUGCGGACCCCAUAUUUCUACGACAUUCCAGUGCAUGUCAAGCCUUGGUAAGGUUCUUCGCGUUGCGUCGAAUUAAACAACAUGCUCCGCUGCUUGUGCGGGUCCCCGUCAAUUCCUUUGAGUUUUAGCCUUGCGGCCGUACUCCCCAGGCGGGGUGCUUAAUGCGUUAGCUUCGGCACGGAAGGAGUCGACACCUCCCACACCUAGCACCCAUCGUUUACGGCGUGGACUAC
rnacentral:misc_RNA from 1 species